UACGGAGGGGGCUAGCGUUGUUCGGAAUUACUGGGCGUAAAGCGCGCGUAGGCGGACCUGCAAGUCGGGGGUGAAAGCCCGAGGCUCAACCUCGGAACUGCCUUCGAUACUGCGGGUCUCGAGUCCGGGAGAGGUGAGUGGAAUUCCUAGUGUAGAGGUGAAAUUCGUAGGAUAUUAGGAAGAACACCAGUGGCGAAGGCGGCUCAGCUGGCCCGGUACUGACGCUGAGGCGCGAAAGCGUGGGGAGCAAACAGG
rnacentral:rRNA from 1 species